rnacentral:misc_RNA from 1 species
GGAUGAACCGUCGCUCAAACAAUCAUUUAAUAAAAAUAUACGUAUAUUCAUUUCAAUCAUAAACAUUAGCGAGGAAACAAAUUCUUAAUACAUAGAUAUCAAAUCAAUCCAGACCUUUGCAGCAACUCCAGUACCAGAGCUACUUCAAUGGAACAACACAAAGCAAUCAAUCACUCUUUCCCACUUGGGCACCAAUUUCUUGCAAGUAAUGUUCAGCA